GAUGAAGAACGCAGCGAGAUGCGAUAAGUAAUGUGAAUUGCAGAAUUCAGUGAAUCAUCGAAUCUUUGAACGCACAUUGCGCCCCUUGGUAUUCCGAGGGGCAUGCCUGUUCGAGCGUCAUUAUAACCCCUCAAGCUCAGCUUGGUGUUGGGGCCUGCUGCACUGGCAGCCCUUAAAAUCAGUGGCGGCGCCAUCUGGCUCUAAGCGUAGUAAUUCUUCUCGCUAUGGAGUCCUGGUGGAUGCUUGCCAUCAACCCCCAAUUUUUCUAUGGUUGACCUCGGAUCAGGUAGGGAUACCCGCUGAACUUAAGCAUAUCAAUAAGGGAGGA
rnacentral:misc_RNA from 1 species